UACGGGAGGCAGCAGUGAGGAAUAUUGGUCAAUGGGCGAGAGCCUGAACCAGCCAAGUAGCGUGCAGGACGACGGCCCUAUGGGUUGUAAACUGCUUUUAUGCGGGGAUAAAGUUCACUACGUGUAGUGUUUUGUAGGUACCGCAUGAAUAAGGAACGGCUAAUUCCGUGCCAGCAGCCGCGGUAAU
rnacentral:rRNA from 1 species